rnacentral:rRNA from 1 species
UACGUAGGGUGCGAGCGUUGUCCGGAAUUAUUGGGCGUAAAGGGCUCGUAGGCGGCGUGUCGCGUCGGGAGUGAAAGCCCGUUGCUUAACGGCGGGUUGGCUUUCGGUACGGGCAUGCUGGAGUGCGGCAGGGGAGACUGGAAUUCCUGGUGUAGCGGUGGAAUGCGUAGAGAUCCGGAAGAACACCGGUGGCGAAGGCGGUUAGCUGGGCAGUUGCUGACACUGAGGCGCGACAGCGUGGGGAGCAAACAGGG